GUGCUUAACUUCUGGAGCACAUAUACUAAAAUUAGAACCAUACAGAGAAGAUCAGCAUGGCCUCUGCUCAAGGAUGACAUGUAAAUAGUGUUUGUGUUGCUAACGUUUU
rfam:Tupaia chinensis contig81704, whole genome shotgun sequence.